UAUGUACUCCCUCCGUCUGGAAUUACCUGUCGCAAAAAUGGAUAGAAAUGGAUGUAUCUAAAACUAAAAUACAUCUAAAUACAUCCAUUCCUCAAACAAAUAUUUUUGGACGGAGGGAGUAAUAU
rfam:Hordeum vulgare subsp. vulgare, WGS project CAJW01000000 data, contig: morex_contig_48449